AACUAUUAAAGACAUAAUAGAUUCUUCAUUAUACAAGUAAAAAAUCAUAUCAACAUAAUUUUUAAGUUACAGCAAUUAGUGUUUACUAAAUAUUUUACUGCUGUACCUUUUAAAUUACAGUUGUCCAACCUCAAUCACAAACACACAUAUAAUGUGUUUAAAUAUCAUCAUGAUAUUGUCUGUGCCAAGCUAGAUACAAUUUGAAAUCCGUCCAUGUCUUGCUUCCGCCCAAGAAAAUGAUGCAACAACACCUCUUUUAUAAAAACUGACACAGCAUUAUAUGAAUAUUUCAUAGCGAAUGAUGAUAUUCAGCCACCCUCAGUACAUAAGGAAGCCAAAAAAUGACAUGCUUUCUGUGUGGUGUUGAAGUUUUGGAUUUGAAAAUUAAUAAUAAUUUUAUACCAUUAAAGUAUAUUAAAAGUGAAUUAAAAGAAAUUAAAAAAUCCUCUUAUCCACUCUCUCCUGCUUAAUCACCCGCACUAUAUCCCUUUGAAACACUCACGAAGCUCAUUAUCCCUCUCACUCAUGACGAAGCUCGUUGUCCCACUUUGCCAACGAAGCUCCCUAUCCCUCUCACUCACCCACGAAGCUCGUUGUCACUCCACGUCCAUUGUUGACCAGUUGCCUAAUGUCGCAGACCAACCGCAAUUCACGUCGCCGACUGGUCUUGCUUGACAGUGUGCUUGACGAUUUUGGACCUUUUUCAUUUGUUCAGGCAAUUGAAUUUAGUAUGUCAAGGAAAGUUUUGAUUUAUUAGGUUGCGAUGUCAAAAAUAGAUUGGGUAGUAUU
rnacentral:lncRNA from 1 species